UACGGAGGGUGCAAGCGUUAUCCGGAUUCACUGGGUUUAAAGGGUGCGUAGGCGGGCAUUUAAGUCAGUGGUGAAAUACCUGAGCUUAACUUGGGAACUGCCAUUGAUACUAUUUGUCUUGAAUGUCGUGGAGGUUAGCGGAAUAUGUCAUGUAGCGGUGAAAUGCUUAGAUAUGACAUAGAACACCUAUUGCGAAGGCAGCUUACUAAGUCGUAACUGACGCUGAUGCACGAAAGCGUGGGGAGCAAACAGG
rnacentral:rRNA from 1 species